CGGCUCCGCGCACCGGCAGGGAAGGGCUGGAGCGAGGGACCGAGUCUGGGAGAGCCUUCCGAGUCCGGCCUCCUGCCUUCCCGCCAUGGGACGGCUCGCCCCAAUCCCGCGAGGCUCCUGCGCCUCCGCAACCCAGGCCCGCACCCCUUUCCCCAGGGGCCCGCUCUGCUCAGAGCGGCGGUGAACACACGAAGUAACGAUGAGGCCAGCGGGAAGCCACGGAGGGGCAGGUCAGCCUCGGCUAAUCUCAGCUCACACAAGCACCCCGCGAUUUCAGGCCAAAGGAAGGAGAGAGCUGCUGUCAGCAGAAUAUAGGAAAUCGGGCAAAAGACGGUGGGGUUUGCACCUGAAUUAGUUAGAUUCUUGGCCAGAGCUCAACUGUGAUUCUCGACCUGGGCUCAGAGGGGUGAUGAAACCCGCUUCCCAAGUGAACCCCUUGCUGGUUACCCCUGCCCGGCCUCAACUCAGGGAUGAAGAGGAAAGAAAGUCAAAGCGGCCUCUUCUAGACAAGAAGGCACCUAGCAGGACUGACUGGGGUCCUACUGUGCCCUCAUUUAUGCCGGUUACUAAAAUGAAUGACAGCACGCCUGCUAUGGCUGAACUCAGCCUGUGGAAUGGCCCGAAGGCAUCCCUGCCCAGCGACUCAUAACUCGCACCUGCACACACACCUUACAGCAGAUGGUAAUCGAAAGCUCCAGCCCUACCCCGGGGAUCUGAAGCUAAAUUAGAAUCACCGGGUUGCUCUCCGGGAUCCUGCCUGCUCUUUGAUUAUCCUCAAUCCAGGAAGCCCCAGAUGCUGGUGAGCUUUGUCUCUCUGGGUUCCCUGUGCCUUCAACCAGGUAGCCAGACUCUGCUGGAGAAAAAUCGCACAGUCAAGCCGCAUGUCUCCUUCACACUGGCUUUGCAGGUGUGAUUAAAUUAAGGGUCGUGAGCUGGAGAGAUUACCCUGGAUUAUCUCGGUGGGUCCUAAAUGUGAUCACAAGUGUCCUCAUAACAGAGGGGCAGUAGGAAAUUUGACUACACAGCCGGAGGCGACGUAACAAAAGCAGAAAGAGAUUUGAAGAUGUUAAACUGCUGGUUUGGAAGAUGAAGGGGCCAAGAGCCAGGAAAAGCAGCUCUAGAUGCUGGAAAAAGCAAGGAAAUAGACUCCCCCUCAGAGCCUCUGGAGGGACCUGCAGUCCUGUGGACAAUUUAUAGUCCAGUGCAACUGGUUUUGGACUUCUGACCUCCAAAACUGUAAGAGAAUAAACGUACGUGGUUUUAUGCCACCAAGAGUGUGGUGUUACAGCAGCCCUAGGAAUCUCAUAUGCCCUCCCUGCUCCCUGCUCAAAGGCUUUGUUCUUCAGCUCCUCUCUUUCUCUCCUGCACAAGUUACUCAUCACUCCUUCCUACUGGACCAUUUUCAUCAGUGUAUAAGCAAAAAAAAAAAAAAAAUUAUCUGUAUUUCACUUUCCAUUCAUCCUUCAGCUCAUGCCACUCUGACUCUCAAACCUGCCACACACCAAGUCUUCUCAAAGUCACUGAAGAUGUCCACAUUGACAAGUCAAAUGAACACUUUAUGUUCCUCAUCUUCCUGGGCUUCUCAGCAGCGUUGGUACAACUGCCAUUGGCCCCAUCUGCAUCCACCGUCCUUUCUGCUUCUCUGAUCUACCUCCUACCAUCCCCACGUCACUCCUCAGUCUCUUCAACCCAACCUUUGAUGUCAGUUUUCAGCGCUCAGCCUCCAACCCACUUUUGUUUCUCUGCAUCACUCCCUAGGUGAUCUCAUCCAUAGCCAUGGCUUUAACACCAUCUAUAUGCUGCUGCCAAAGUGUACAUUUGCAGCCGAGGCCUCUCUCUGAGCUCUCACUAUCUACAGGAUGCCUCCUCUUGUUUGUCCUGCAGGUGUGCUGAAGCUGACCUUGUGCUUCCCUGCAGCAAUCUGCUUGUCCUCCGAUUUCCCC
rnacentral:lncRNA from 1 species